rnacentral:rRNA from 1 species
UUUGAUCCUGGCUCAGGAUGAACGCUGGCGGCGUGCUUAACACAUGCAAGUCGAACGAAUUACUUUAAAGGAAGUUUUCGGAUGGAAUUUAAAGUAGUUAGUGGCGGACGGGUGAGUAACGCGUGGGAAACCUGCCCUAUACAGGGGGAUAGCCUCGGGAAACCGGGAUUAAUACCCCAUGAAACUCUAGAGCCGCAUGGCUCAUGGGUCAAAGAUUUAUCGGUAUAGGAUGGUCCCGCGUCUGAUUAGCUAGUUGGUGAGGUAACGGCUCACCAAGGCGACGAUCAGUAGCCGGCCUGAGAGGGUGAACGGCCACACUGGAACUGAGACACGGUCCAGACUCCUACGGGAGGCAGCAGUGGGGAAUAUUGCACAAUGGGGGAAACCCUGAUGCAGCGACGCCGCGUGAGCGAAGAAGGCCUUCGGGUCGUAAAGCUCUGUCCUAAGGGAAGAAACGGACGGUACCUUAGGAGGAAGCCCCGGCUAACUACGUGCCAGCAGCCGCGGUAAUACGUAGGGGGCGAGCGUUAUCCGGAAUUAUUGGGCGUAAAGGGUGCGUAGGCGGCUUUUUAAGUCAGAUGUGAAAGGCUACGGCUUAAC